GACGAACGCUGGCGGCGUGCUUAACACAUGCAAGUCGAACGGUGACGAGGAGCUUGCUCCUCUGAUCAGUGGCGAACGGGUGAGUAACACGUGAGCAACCUGCCCCAGACUCUGGGAUAACAGUUGGAAACAGCUGCUAAUACCGGAUACGAGACGGAGAGGCAUCUCUACCGUCUGGAAAGUUUUCGGUCUGGGAUGGACUCGCGGCCUAUCAGCUAGUUGGUGAGGUAAUGGCUCACCAAGGCGACGACGGGUAGCCGGCCUGAGAGGGCGACCGGCCACACUGGGACUGAGACACGGCCCAGACUCCUACGGGAGGCAGCAGUGGGGAAUAUUGCACAAUGGGCGAAAGCCUGAUGCAGCGACGCCGCGUGAGGGAUGAAGGCCUUCGGUGUAAACCUCUUUCAGCAGGGAAGAAGCGAAAGUGACGGUACCUGCAGAAGAAGCACCGGCGUAACUACGUGCCAGCAGCCGCGGU
rnacentral:rRNA from 1 species